GGAUCCUUAGCUCAGCUGGCUAGAGCACCUCAUUGACGUUGAGGGGGUCAGAAGUUCGAAUCUUCUAGGAUCCACCA
rnacentral:tRNA from 1 species